UACGUAGGGUGCAAGCGUUGUCCGGAUUUAUUGGGCGUAAAGAGCUCGUAGGCGGUCUGUCGCGUCGGAUGUGAAAACCCAGGGCUCAACCCUGGGCCUGCAUUCGAUACGGGCAGACUAGAGUGUGGCAGGGGAGACUGGAAUUCCUGGUGUAGCGGUGAAAUGCGUAGAUAUCGGGAGGAACACCAGUGGCGAAGGCGAUCAUCUGGGGUUGUUCUGACACUGAGGAGCGAAAGCUAGGGGAGCAAACGGG
rnacentral:rRNA from 1 species